UUUUUUUUUAACGCUCCUGCAAUAGUAAUCUGAGUCCAGCCAGGGCUAUUUACACCUAAUCAUUGCACAGCAGGCACUGCAGCCAGAGUUUGCAGCCCAUAAAUUAAUAAAUAAAGCCAGCAACAUUAUCUAGUAAUUUACUGCCUAUCAAUUUGCAUGGCAGAACUCCCCAGCUGCCCCAGGGAAGCCAGGCAUCAGUGGUGAAGUGACUUAUGCUAGAGUCAAUAAGGAGCUUUGGAAAAGGAGCCAGCCAGCCCCAGGACUCCUAACAUUGUGCUGCACUGCCUCCCUCUCCUUCAUUUAGUCAUCCAAACCAGAAUAAACUGUUUAUGACUAAGUUUCCUUGUUUUCCCCUCCAGACACACAUUUGUAGGUGUGCACAGAUGCGCACGCCUUCGAAACCUUUCACAAGUAUUUCCCCAAUGCAGAGAUUCAAUGUUUUCGGUCAUCGAUCUCGAUUUGGUACAGUAUGUCAGUAACUUGUAAUGAUCAGCCUGAGCUGCAUGCCUAGUACUUCUGGCUGAGCCUGAUAUGCUUGCAAUUUAUUUUCCAGAAACUUACAUUAAAAGUGAUCUAAAUCGGGGGCUAGUGCAGUCAGAAAUACUUCAGUGUUUUGCUGGGUUUAAUCAAUGAUUGUAGAUGGUAAAUCUGGAAAGCGAGUAUAUUACUUUCAAAUUUAUCCAGCAUCUGCCACCUAAGAAUCUCAGAGUGCCAUAAAAUCUUUUAUAAAUGAAGCCAUUCAGCACCUUUAGGUAUUACUUUGCCAUUCUGCAGAAAAGGAAACGGCGUCUCAGAGGCAUUGGACCAGUUAGUGACUGAUAGACAUGGGAACUGAACAGAACAGACACAGAGAUUCUCUGUCGUAAACAGUACAUGCUGGUACCUCAAGAGGCAGGUAAGACCCAGGAACACCAAAGAAUUAUUAGUGUCUGCUCAUCCAGAGGGAAAAGGAAGGGUUGCUCCAGGCCAGGGCUGAAGACCAUGCACACAGUUGCUGCUAUGCAGUACUUUUUCUGCGUGUAACAAAUGAGCUGCAGUCCCUGUAGUUCUUGGUUUUAUUCUGUACCUUUGAAAAUAAAGAGCAGCCUAUUCUCA